rnacentral:rRNA from 1 species
GACGAACGCUGGCGGCGUGCUUAACACAUGCAAGUCGAACGGAAAGGCCCUGCUUUUGUGGGGUGCUCGAGUGGCGAACGGGUGAGUAACACGUGAGUAACCUACCCUUGACUUUGGGAUAACUUCAGGAAACUGGGGCUAAUACCGGAUAGGAGCUCCUGCUGCAUGGUGGGGGUUGGAAAGUUUCGGCGGUUGGGGAUGGACUCGCGGCUUAUCAGCUUGUUGGUGGGGUAGUGGCUUACCAAGGCUUUGACGGGUAGCCGGCCUGAGAGGGUGACCGGCCACAUUGGGACUGAGAUACGGCCCAGACUCCUACGGGAGGCAGCAGUGGGGAAUAUUGCACAAUGGGCGGAAGCCUGAUGCAGCAACGCCGCGUGCGGGAUGACGGCCUUCGGGUUGUAAACCGCUUUCGCCUGUGACGAAGCGUGAGCGACGGUAAUGGGUAAAGAAGCACCGGCUAACUACGUG